UACGGAGGGUGCAAACGUUGCUCGGAAUCAUUGGGCGUAAAGCGCACGUAGGCGGACUGUUAAGUCGGACGUGAAAUCCCUCAGCUUAACUGAGGAAGUGCAUUCGAAACUGACAGUCUUGAGUACAGGAGAGGGUCGCGGAAUUCCCGGUGUAGAGGUGAAAUUCGUAGAUAUCGGGAGGAACACCAGUGGCGAAGGCGGCGGCCUGGACUGAUACUGACGCUGAGGUGCGAAAGCGUGGGGAGCAAACAGG
rnacentral:rRNA from 1 species